AGUCGAGCGGACAGAUGGGGAGCUUGCUCCCUGAUGUUAGCGGCGGACGGGUGAGUAACACGUGGGUAACCUGCCUGUAAGACUGGGAUAACUCCGGGAAACCGGGGCUAAUACCGGAUGGUUGUUUGAACCGCAUGGUUCAGACAUAAAAGGUGGCUUCGGCUACCACUUACAGAUGGACCCGCGGCGCAUUAGCUAGUUGGUGAGGUAACGGCUCACCAAGGCAACGAUGCGUAGCCGACCUGAGAGGGUGAUCGGCCACACUGGGACUGAGACACGGCCCAGACUCCUACGGGAGGCAGCAGUAGGGAAUCUUCCGCAAUGGACGAAAGUCUGACGGAGCAACGCCGCGUGAGUGAUGAAGGUUUUCGGAUCGUAAAGCUCUGUUGUUAGGGAAGAACAAGUGCCGUUCAAAUAGGGCGGCACCUUGACGGUACCUAACCAGAAAGCCACGGCUAACUACGUGCCAGCAGCCGCGGUAAUACGUAGGUGGCAAGCGUUGUCCGGAAUUAUUGGGCGUAAAGGGCUCGCAGGCGGUUUCUUAAGUCUGAUGUGAAAGCCCCCGGCUCAACCGGGGAGGGUCAUUGGAAACUGGGGAACUUGAGUGCAGAAGAGGAGAGUGGAAUUCCACGUGUAGCGGUGAAAUGCGUAGAGAUGUGGAGGAACACCAGUGGCGAAGGCGACUCUCUGGUCUGUAACUGACGCUGAGGAGCGAAAGCGUGGGGAGCGAACAGGAUUAGAUACCCUGGUAGUCCACGCCGUAAACGAUGAGUGCUAAGUGUUAGGGGGUUUCCGCCCCUUAUUGCUGCAGCUAACGCAUUAAGCACUCCGCCUGGGGAAUACGGUCCCCAAGACU
rnacentral:rRNA from 1 species